UAUCUUAUGGAUCAUCACCCAUAAUAUUGCAGGUAGCUUUUGUGAUCUCAUGGUCAAACACGGUGCAGUUUAAAUUUAGAGCAAGGUACUGGACUGGAGGUUAUGCUUCCGAAUGUUUGGAUAUGUUCAUAAAGGGACUACUGCAGGCCAUCUGUAUAUGCUUCUCACUGUGUUAUAUAAGGCCAGCAUCAACUUGCUGAUAGAUAAAACAUUGAACUGGUCAUCUGAUCCGUAUAAUUUGAGAUGCUUCACCAUUAACAGUACGAGAACAAUAGAAUUAAGAAUGUAGAAGUUUCUUGCACCCUUUGCCCUCGAUCAUUUCUCUUGGUCCAAGUGCAUCGGUGGCGCCGCAGGUGGCAUGGCUGGUUUGGCUCACAGCAGCUUGAGGCUGCUGCAGAUGAUGGAGGCAAAGAUGGAGCGUCAGACGAGGUUUGGCCCACAGCUGAAUGUAUUUGUGUUGUCAUUUUCUUUCUUUUCUGUGGUCAUGCCAGUAGAGUGUUUCUGGGAGUAAGCAGAGAUCCGUGGCAUACAUGGAGACUGAUGCAAAUCCCAUCGAUUGGUCUGUGGCCUCAGAUGAUGGCUUGAUGGUUCCGUAAUCCUAUCAUGCUUGGUCAGCUAAGCCUGCUACGUAGAUACGAAGGCUGUACCAAUAAACUUGCCAACCAUUGAUUUACAGAAGAGUAAGUAGAUUUGGUUUAUACAGAUGUUUAUGCUGUUUAUGUUACUGGUGAAAUCUCUGCAUAGGCAGUCCGAUGAAGCUUAUGUAGCUUUAAGUCCAAUAGAGAGGAGCAGAAUGUUGCUAAAUAUUAUGGAAUUGAGAAUCUCAUCAAAAGCAC